UAGCAAAGGAUUUCGUUGUUGCUGGCACUGCAUCAGCGUGCGUAUAUGGUGCUUGUGAGGCGAUGUUCAAGCCUGACAUGGUUAAGUAUUGGUGGAUGGGAAGGUGAUCAACAAAGCCGGUACUCCAGUAUCUAAUAAAGCUGUUGUAAAGAAUAUGGCUGAAGUCCUCAAAUAUGUAUCUAGGUGAUUCACUUUAACAAAUCAAUCUGCACUUCAUUAUAUGAGAAUCAUUUUAUGCUCGAACUUUGGUAAGACCUGUUAUGCUGAAGGUGAUCAACAAAGCCGGUACUCCAGUAUCUAAUAAAGCUGUUGUAAAGAAUAUGGCUGAAGUCCCCAAAUAUGUAUCUAGGACAUAAGUUAGAAGCUGCUAUUUAUUGAUAUUACUGGCAACAUAGCUCUUGAUUCAUGCUGGUCAACUGGUGGAUUUACCGACUGUUUACUUCAGUAUGGUGCAUUGUUUGUUUAUGGAGUUGAUGUUGGAUAUGGCCAGGUAACAACCCCUAAAUCCAAAUAAAAAUAUCUUAUCUGUGAGUAUACCAAUUCGCUUCUAUUCUUGUUCAAUCAUGAGUUAUGGUAUGUUAAUCUUUUUUUUCCUUCAAAUUUUAGUUUACAAUUGUAGCUGGGGUCAUACUGUUAAUCUUUUUUUUUUUUUUUUUAGCAAAAAGACUGAAUCUUAUAUUUGCUAUGGAUUUGUUGGCUUAACUUUGUUGUACAUGGAGUUAUGCUUUAGGAUCUGCACAAUCUUUUUGGGUUAGCAGUUGAAUUAGUGUACUUGGAUCACAUGUUAUACGGAUCAGCAAUUUGAGACUAGGGAAUGAACUGAGCUAAAAGAUAAGUUCUUUUUUAAGUGGCAAUAUAUGUUUA